rnacentral:rRNA from 1 species
AGCAUAUCAAUAAGCGGAGGAAAAGAAACCAACAGGGAUUGCCCCAGUAACGGCGAGUGAAGCGGCAACAGCUCAAAUUUGAAAUCUGGCCCCAGGCCCGAGUUGUAAUUUGCAGAGGAUGCUUUUGGCGCGGUGCCUUCCGAGUUCCCUGGAACGGGACGCCAUAGAGGGUGAGAGCCCCGUACGGUUGGACACCAAGCCUUUGUAAAGCUCCUUCGACGAGUCGAGUAGUUUGGGAAUGCUGCUCAAAAUGGGAGGUAUAUUUCUUCUAAAGCUAAAUAUUGGCCAGAGACCGAUAGCGCACAAGUAGAGUGAUCGAAAGAUGAAAAGCACUUUGAAAAGAGGGUUAAACAGCACGUGAAAUUGUUGAAAGGGAAGCGCUUGUGACCAGACUUGCGCCCGGUGAAUCACCCAGCUCUCGCGGCUGGGGCACUUUGCCGGCACAGGCCAGCAUCAGCUUGCCGUCGGGGACAAAAGCUUCGGGAACGUAGCUCUCUUCGGGGAGUGUUAUAGCCCGUUGCAUAAUACCCUUCGGCGGGCUGAGGUACGCGCUCCGCAAGGAUGCUGGCGUAAUGGUCAUCAGCGACCCGUCUUGAAACACGGACCAAGGAGUCAACCUUAUGUGCGAGUGUUUGGGUGUUAAACCCCUACGCGUAAUGAAAGUGAACGCAGGUGAGAGCUUCGGCGCAUCAUCGACCGAUCCUGAUGUUCUCGGAUGGAUUUGAGUAAGAGCAUAUAGGGUUGGACCCGAAAGAAGGUGAACUAUGCGUGUAUAGGGUGAAGCCAGAGGAAACUCUGGUGGAGGCUCGCAGCGGUUCUGACGUGCAAAUCGAUCGUCAAAUAUGCGCAUGGGGGCGAAAGACUAAUCGAACCUUCUAGUAGCUGGUUUCCCCCAAU